GGUUUUAUAUUCAAUAGUGAUUUAGAAUUGCAAGUUCUAAGGUGUAAAUAUUUACUAAGGCCU
rnacentral:tRNA from 1 species